UAUUAGUUUUUUGAGGAACCUCCAAACUGUUCUCCAUAGUGGUUGUACUCAUUUACAUUCCCACUGUGAACCCUGAAAAUUUGAGGCAGGUCUCAGUUAAAUUAGAAAGUUGAUUUUGCCAAGUUGGGGACACGCACUCGUGACACAGCCUCAGGAGGAACUGAUGACAUGUGCCCAGGUGGUCAGAGCACAGCUUGGUUUUAUACAUUUUAGGGAAACCUGAGCCAUCAAUCAACAUACGUAAAAUGGGCCGGGCACAGCAGCUCAAGCUGUAAUCCCAGCACUCUGGGAGGCCGAGGCGGGUGGAUCACUUGAGGUCAGGAGUUCGAGACCAGCCUGGCCAACAUGGUGAAACCCCGUCUCUAUUAAAAAUACAAAGCUUAGCUGGAUGUGGUGGCGCAUGCCUGUAGUCCCAGCUGCUCUAGGAGGCUGAGGCAUGAGAAUUGCUUGAACCUGGGAGGCAGAGGCUGCAGUGAGCCGAGAUCGAGCCACUAUACUCCAGCCUGGUCAACAGAGUGAGACCCUGUCUCAAAAAAAAAAAAAAAAUGUAAAAUGAACAUGGUUCAGUCCGGAAAGGCGGGAGAACUUGAAGGAAAAGCAGGACAACUCAAUGCAGGCAUGAGGCUUCCAGGUCAUAGGAAGAAAAGAGACAAAUAGUUGCAUUCUUUUGAGUUGAUGAUUAGCCUCUCCAAAGGAGGGAAGCAGAUAUGCAUUAAUCUCAGUGAGCGGAGGGGUGACUUUGAAUAGAACGGGAGGUGGGUUUGCUUUAAGCAAUUCCCAGCUUGACUUUUCCCUUUAGCUUCGUAAUUCUGGGGGCCUAAGAUAUUUUCCUUUCACACCACCAGCAGUGUACGGAGGUUCCCUUUUCUCCACAUCCUCGCUAGCAUUUGUUAUUUUCUUUUUUUUGGAUAAAGCCAUUUUAACUGGGGUGACGUGGCAUCUCAUUGUAGUUUUGAUUUGCAGUUCUCUGAUCAGUGAUGUCAAGUACCUUUUCAUAUGCCUGUUUUGGGUUGAGUACCUUUCAUAUGCCUGUUUGCCAUUUAUAUGUCUUCUUUGGGGAAAUAUGUAUUCAAAUCUUUUGCCCAUUUUUAAUUGGAUUACUAGGAUUUUUUUCCUAUAGACUUGUUUGAGAUCCUUAUAUUUUCUGAUUAUUAAUCUCUUGUCAGAUGGCAGUUUUCUUAGUUUUUUGCCAUCAUGGUUUCAGAAAGAUCAGAGUCCAAUCUCAGAACACCUUGUCAUUUUUCCUGCAUGGAUUUCUCAUCUUUAUCCACUAUUUCUCUGAAAUCAUUCAGCUUGCUAAUGUUGCCCCCAGUGGUUUUUUUUUUUAAAUAAUAUUGGCCAGGUACGGUGGCUCAUGCCUGUAAUCCCAGCACUUGGGAGGCCAAGGCAGGAGGAUCACUUGAGCCCAGGGAGUUUGAGACCAGCCUGGAUAACACAGUGAGACUCUGCCUCUUAAAAUAAUAAUAAUAAUAAAAGUAUUGAUGGGGGCUGAGCGCGGUGGCUCACGCCUAUAAUCCCAGCACUUUGGGAGGCCGAGGUGGGCGGGUCACCUGAGAUCAGGAGUUUGAGACCAGCCUGGCCAAUAUGGUGAAACCCUGUCUCUACUAAAAAUACAAAAAAAAAUCACCGGGCAUGGUGGUGCACACCUGUAAUCCCAGCUACUUGGGAGGCUGAGGCAUGAGAAUCACUUGAACCUGGGAGGCAGUGGUUGCAGUGAGCUGAGAUCGUGCCAUUACAUUCCAGACUGGGCGACAGCACGAGACUCUGUCUCAAAAAUUAAUAACAAUAAUAAUAUGAUGGGAAGAGAGAGUUGGGAGAGGGCUGAAAAAUUACUUUUUGGGCACUGUGCUCAUUACUUGGGUGAUGAGAUCAAUCCUACCCAAAACCUCAGGGUCACACAAUGUACCCAUGGAACAAGCCUGCAGUGUACCCCCUGCAUCUAAAAUAAAAGUUGAAAUAAAAAUGAUAAUAAUAUUAGGAGGCUGAAGUGGGAGGAUUGCUUGAGCCCAGGAGUUUGAGGCUACAGUGAGCUUUGAUUAUUCCACUGCACUCCGGCCUGGACAACAGAGUAAGACCCUGUCUCAAAUAAAAUAAUAAUAGGCCGGGCAUGGUGGCUCAUGCCUGUAAUCCCAGCACUUUGGGAGGCCGAGGCGGGUGGAUCACGAGGUGAGGAGUUUGAGACCAGCCUGACCAACAUGGUGAAACCCCGUCUCUACUAAAAAUAUAAAAAUUAGCUGGGCACAGUGGCACGCGCCUGUAGUCCCAGCUACUCAGGAGGCUGAGGCAGGAGAAUUGCUUGAACCUGGGAGGUGGAGGUUGCAGUGAGCUGAGAUCGCGCCACUGCACUCCAGCCUGGGCGACAGAGCGAGACUCCGUCUCAAAAAAAAUAUAAUAAUAAUGAUAAUAAUAGUAAUACAGUAGCCUCCAGCACCUGGGCUCUGGGAUGGCUGGGAGGUGCUCCUUGGGGAGCCCCUGCUGACCCGGCUCCCUCGGGGCACAGCCUUCAUCCUCCCCAAGGCAGAGGUGUGCGUGCGGAACCAUGUCCAGCCCUACAUCCCAUCCAUCCUGGAGGCCCUGAUGGUCCCCACCAGCCAGGGCUUCACUGAGGUGCGAGAUGUCUUCUUCAAGGAGGUCACGGACAUGAACCUGAACGUCAUCAACGAGGGCGGCAUUGACAAGCUGGGCGAGGUGAGGCCGGCACCGCCCCUAGGAGGGGGUCUCCUGAGAGUAGGUCUGGUCUGUCCCAGAGGGCCCCGGCUGCGUGACUCCGGGCAGCCGUUCCCCUCCAAGGCCGUCCCUGUAGACGGGGAGGGGCUGCUGGGGACUAGGGGCAGAGGCUGUGAGGCCAGGGCUGUUGGAGUCCUCGUGGGGCCUGCAGUUUGAGGAAAGAGGGAACAUUAGCUCCCGGCCACCAGCCUUUAGAAACCAAGAGUGGUGCUAAAAUAGAAAAGAAUUUAACAGAAGAGAGGGAAGGAGGGAAGGAGAGGAGGGGAGAGGGAAGGAGGGAAGGAGAGGAGGGAAGGAGGGAAGGAGAGGAGGGAAGGAGGGAAGGAGAGGAGGGGAGAGGGAAGGGCGGGCUUCAGGUGGAGUAAUGAGAUUGAUAAGGAAGAAUUCACAAGUCACGCGCCCUCCAAAUGGAGACAGCCGUUGCCCUUACUUGACCUCAGUUAUCUGGCUCUCGGGGUGAACGUCCUUCCACAGUCUCCAUCUUGGGCUGGCUGCCCGGAGCCCGCAUAGUUGUCAGAUUGAAUUUAUCCUGUAUCUUAGUUUCCUCCUUUAUACUCUGAAAUGGGGAGUCCACAGACCAUAAUAAUCCCAGAAUCUGAGACCUGGAGAGGACCUUGGAGAGCAGGAAAGCUCUCUCCCAAUUUUGAAGCUGAGGAAACUGAGGCUCAGAGAGGGUGAAUGACUUGCCCAAGGUCACCCAGCACCUCAGAAGGGAUGAGUGCCUUCUGCCGGCACCGAGGCUGCCUCUCCACAGCGCUGUGCCACUGGACUGCGCCCUCCAUGCCUUCAGAGCCUCAUGCUUCUGUCCUGGGCCCUCCUGGGUUUACCUUUGUGGCCAUGAGCACCAGGUGGCCAUCCCUGGUAGCAGGCGCCAGCCCCAGGGCCUGGACUUCGAGGACCCAGGCAAAGUGUGUGGGGGGUGCUGCCUGGCCACAGGGCGGCCCUGCUCAGCCCCCGCGGCCCCGGCCCCUGCAGUACAUGGAGAAGCUGUCCCGGCUGGCGUACCACCCCCUGAAGAUGCAGAGCUGCUAUGAGAAGAUGGAGUCGCUGCGACUGGACGGGCUGCAGCAGCGAUUUGAUGUGUCCAGCACGUCCGUGUUCAAGCAGCGAGCCCAGAUCCACAUGCGGGAGGUAGACCCGAGGCUACGACCCCCACCCCACACCCUGUCCACUGCCUUCCACAGGCCCCCUCGCCCAGGGGGUCCCUUCUGCUCCGUCCCGUCAUGCCAUAGCCACGCUUGCCUGGCACGCUCUCUCCUCCUCUGCUUGGAACAUCUGUGCCUCUGCCCACCUGGCUAAUUCUGACUCACUUCCCAGGUCUCAGCUUA
rnacentral:lncRNA from 1 species